GAUGAACGCUAGCGGCAGGCUUAACACAUGCAAGUCGAGGGGUAACAGGGAGAAGCUUGCUUUUCCGCUGACGACCGGCGAACGGGUGCGUAACACGUAUGCAAUCUACCUCUAUCAGGAGAAUAGCCCAGAGAAAUUUGGAUUAAUGCUCCAUAGUAUUGUCAAUUCGCAUGUUUUGACAAUUAAAGCUCCGGCGGAUAGAGAUGAGCAUGCGGCCCAUUAGCUUGUUGGUGAGGUAACGGCUCACCAAGGCAACGAUGGGUAGGGGGUCUGAGAGGAUGAUCCCCCACACUGGUACUGAGACACGGACCAGACUCCUACGGGAGGCAGCAGUGAGGAAUAUUGGUCAAUGGACGAAAGUCUGAACCAGCCAUGCCGCGUGCAGGAUGACUGCCCUAUGGGUUGUAAACUGCUUUUAUAUACCAAGAAACCCCAGGACGUGUCCUGGGCUGACGGUAGUAUAUGAAA
rnacentral:rRNA from 1 species